CCUACGGGAGGCAGCAGUGGGGAAUUUUGCACAAUGGGCGAAAGCCUGAUGCAGCAACGCCGCGUGAAGGAAGACGGUCUUCGGAUCGUAAACUUCUGUUCUUAGUGAAGAAUAAUGACGUUAACUAAGGAGCAAUCCACGGCUAACUACGUGCCAGCAGCCGCGGUAAUACGUAGGUGGCGAGCGUUGUCCGGAAUUACUGGGUGUAAAGGGAGCGUAGGCGGGAAGCCAAGUCAGCUGUGAAAACUACGGGCUUAACCUGUAGACUGCAUUUGAAACUGGCUGUCUUGAGUGCAGGAGAGGGUGGCGGAAUUCCAAGUGUAGCGGUAAAAUGCGUAGAUAUUCGGAGGAACACCAGUGGCGAAGGCGGCCAACUGGGCUUUUACUGACGCUGAGGCUCGAAAGUGUGGGGAGCAAACAGGAUUAGAUACCCGUGUAGUC
rnacentral:rRNA from 1 species